GGGGGGAGGGGGGACAUGGCCGCGGUGCCCAACGGAGUAUCGGCGCCGCCAGCCGGCCCCGGCCCCGGCUUCAGCACCACGGACAGCGGCGGCGGCGGAGGUGGUGGUGGUGGUGGUGGCGGCGGCGGCGGGGGCUCGGGCAGGAUGACCGGGCUCAGCCCUGGGCACGGCCCCGGCCCCGUGAUCCCCAUGAAGGACCACGACGCCAUCAAGCUGUUUGUGGGGCAGAUUCCCCGGAACCUGGACGAGAAGGAUCUCAAGCCCCUGUUUGAGGAGUUCGGCAAAAUCUACGAGCUGACGGUGCUGAAGGACAGGUUCACGGGUGUGCACAAAGGCUGUGCCUUCCUCACAUAUUGCGCCCGGGACUCAGCCCUCAAAGCCCAAAGUGCACUGCAUGAGCAAAAGACCCUGCCAGGGAUGAAUCGCCCUAUCCAGGUGAAGCCUGCUGACAGUGAAGGCCGAGGAGAAGACAGGAAGCUCUUCGUGGGGAUGCUGGGGAAGCAGCAGAGCGAGGAGGAUGUCCGGCGGCUGUUUGAGCCUUUUGGCCAGAUUGAGGAGUGUACCAUCCUCCGGGGCCCUGAUGGAACUAGCAAAGGCUGUGCUUUUGUGAAAUUCGGGAGCCCCGCAGAAGCCCAGGCUGCCAUCAACAGCCUGCAUGGCAGCCAGACUAUGCCGGGAGCCUCCUCCAGCCUCGUGGUGAAGUUUGCUGACACGGACAAGGAGAGGACCCUCAGGAGGAUGCACCAGAUGGCCGGGCAGCUGGGCAUCUUUCACCCAAUGACUGUACAGUUCGGCGCCUGCGGAGUGUACACACAAGCGAUAAUGCAGCAGCAGGCGGCUCUGAUGGCAGCUCAAGGAACGUGCCUCAACCCCAUGGCAGCCAUUGCGGCCGCCCAGAUGCAGCAGAUGGCCGCCUUCAACGUCAGCGGGCUCAUCGCCACCCCCGUGACACCCUCAUCAGGUACGAGCACACCGCCAGGCCUCAGCACCGGCACUGUCCCCAGCAUUGCCGCUCCCAUUGGGGUGAAUGGAUUCAGUCCCCUCACCCCCCAGACCAAUGGGCAGCCAGCCUCGGACACCCUCUACACCAACGGUCUCCACCCCUACCCAGCUCAGAGCCCCAGUGUGGCAGACCCCCUCCAGCAGGCCUUCGCAGGAGUGCAGCACUAUGCAGCAGCAUACCCAGCCGCCUAUGCCCCUGUGAACACAGCCUUCCCCCCACAGCCCCCGAUCCUGCCUCAGCAGCAGAGAGAAGGUCCUGAAGGCUGUAACCUCUUCAUCUAUCACCUGCCCCAAGAGUUCGGGGACGCCGAGCUCAUGCAGAUGUUCCUGCCUUUCGGCACUGUCAUCUCUGCCAAAGUCUUUGUAGACCGUGCCACGAACCAGAGCAAAUGCUUUGGGUUCGUUAGCUUCGACAAUCCAGCCAGUGCGCAGACGGCCAUCCAGGCCAUGAAUGGCUUUCAGAUUGGCAUGAAGCGGCUCAAGGUUCAGCUGAAACGGCCAAAGGAUGCCAACCGGCCCUACUGACCCAGCCGUGACUGACUACAGACAGACCAGAUGGCCCCACAGUGGCUUUCUAGCUGUUAUGGGAGACCCCAAAAUACCCUAUCCCUCCCCAAAUAACCUGAAACUGCUGGAAGCCCUGCCCUGUACGAAGAGUGUCCCCCUUUUCCCACGUACAGUAUCCAAACUUGUAACUCUCUUUCUUUGCAACAUAUCACGCUGGAGGAAGAGGAGGAAGCUCCUGUCCUGGCUGCACUCAAGAGAGAGAGAGAGAGAGAGGAGAGCAAUUGAGAGAGAGAGAGAGAGUGUGUGUCGGCCUAAUUGUGUGGUAGGGCCUUUUUUUUAACUAUGAAUUGAUUUUUGCUUUCUUUCUUACAAACAAAACAACCAACAACAAAAACGUGAAGACCAAGAGGCAACAGAACUGAACCCAUGGAACCAAGCAAGCCUUCAUGGAGGCCAGUGACCCAAGAGUCCUUGGGCUUCCUUGAGCCAGCCAGAGCUGUUGGGAAGAGACAGCUUGGAGCACUUGCUGCCCAGUUGUGCUGGAGGAGGUUUUGCCAGGACCGAUGGAGCAGGUAUCCUCCUGCCCAGUCUUGCAGGAGGAAAAGGAUCUAAACCAAAGCCAGUGAGAGGGGCUAAGGCCGAUGUCUUGUGUUUUAUUUUUCGAUUGUUUGGGGCUUGUUUUUUUAAGUGAGUCUCUCCACAUCUGGGUGGAAAGACCCGAUGCUGACAAGAUGUUGAACUUCUAGAAAGAGAUAAGUAUUAAGAUUGAUCUAGCCCUCAUGAGCGUGGGGAAAGGGAGGGAAAGGAAGGUGGGAGAGAGGCCUGCUGGCCCUCUGGCUUACCUGUCUUCCCCUUACUGGGGAAGCAGGACUUACUUCUUUCAGUCAUAUCAUUCCUUAGAGUUUAGGGACCAAAGGACUAUUGCUUUUUAAGAAAAAAUAUAUCUAUAUAAAUAAAUUAAUUUUCAAAAACAAAACAAAAAGAGAAACAAAACAAGGUCAAGUACAGAAUCUCAGAAAAGCUGCAUUGAAACAAUCACAGACAAGGAUGGCUCUGGUGGGGAGGAAAGGUGGAACCUCCGUCACCCCCAAAGGCCUAUGGGUAGCAGGAGAGCUGAAGGGGCCUGGGAAAGGGGAGGCUGAGGGAAACUUUCUGCUGAAUAUUUCAUUCCCUGGUUACCCCCUCCCCUUUUUGCCCCUCACUUUUUACAUGAAAUAAAGGAGAUUGGACUUGUGUGCAAGUGAUAGAGGAGCCAUGGUAACAGUGACUCUCCCACAAAUGCAGUGUCAACCCCUCACCCCAAUAACCCUCCAAAGCCCAGUAAAUGGACCCUUUCUAUUCCCUGAGCCCUGGACCCCAAGCCCCAGCUUCCUGACUCCUCAGGACCCUGCUUCAUGACUCAUAUGAACACAAGCCUGGAAUCCUAAACUGGGCUACCCCUUGUUUCUUCCACUUGGCAUUUAUAGCCAGACUGGCACCAAUAUCCAGAUUGGCAACAUGGCCUUUGCCUUCUGGGUAAGGGAGCUGACCCAGAUUUGUGGUGUGCACCAGUAAUAAUUCCUUCUUUUAUGCUUAUGCUUUGAGCUUAUAUAUCCUUCUUAGUGCUACUCCCAUUAUUCAGUAAUUCUAUAAUGACUUUAACCUCACCCAUAGACUAUUACCCUCAAUCUGGCGGGCACAUUGUGAGAAAGGGAGAACUGGCUGGAGGGAGGGACAGACAACACUUUGAUUCCAAAUUAAGUCAACAAACAUUUAUUGAAUAUCUAUUGAAUAUCUGCUAUGGACAGAGCACUGUCCUAGGCACUGAGGGAGAGGCAAAGAGAAGAUCCAUUCCUGACUGUCAGAGUUAAUAAUAUUGUGAAAGAGUUUCUAGAACCUAAAAAGAAGCACAGUUGGGAAAGCUCCCUAAUCCCUAAGCAGUUUAAUAUCUGAAGGUUUCCACUCCUUCCCUCCCCCCACCACCCCAGGCACUUCAGGUCCAGCCCCUCUACUGCAGGGCCCAGAAAUGUGACUUUUUUAAAAUUAGAAAUAAAAAGAAUUUGCUGUAUUGUUAGAAAGUACAGAAUCUAGCUGGUCAAAGAUGGAUAUCUGUCCAGGCCUAGGUGAGUCCAAGGAUUGUCCAAGUGGCAACCUCAGUUUCUCAGUCAUCUGCUGUUUUGACUCAUGGACUAUGAGGGACAUAACAGUGCAGGGGAUGGGGAGAAUUUGGAAGGAUCUCCCUUAGUUAUUUCCUUAUCAUAUGAAAGUUUCUCAAUUUAACAAAGUUUAUUCCUUCUCUGAUUCCAGAUCACUCACUAAAUCCCCUCCUAAGCUAAGGUAGGGAAAUAAGAAUGAGGUGGCAAGGAGGAUUUGACCAGGAAUAUCUGGCAAGCAGGUCUCAAGCUUUGCUUAGCUUAAGUAAUGUUUUUGUUCUUCUACUAUUGCUCUAAUGAAAGACUUAACGCUAACUUACCUUUGAGAUCAUAGCACCCACCCUCUUUUUAGGUGGCAAAGUUAAAGCUCAGAAGGAUGAAGCCCAUGGUCACACAAGUAACAAGCCAGGAUUCAAACCCAGCUUCUGGGCCAUAUGUUCUCUCCUAGGACCAAAAAAUAAGCCACACUCUUAAGCUAGGCCAUGAAGCAUCUUGCCCAAUCCUUUCUGAGGACGGCAAUUCUGCCUCCCGAGUGUCUCACUUCCCUCCUUUGGCCUUAAUUUACUCCUAACAGCUCUCCUCUCUGGCCCUCAGUUUGCCCACCUGUCAUAGGCUUAGAAUGUGUGAGAAGGGAUGCAUCUCUGGCAAGUAAGGUUCUAUACCAUGUAUCUUGACGGGUAGGAAAAUAUAAUUUUCAUAAUUUAGAUUAUUUUAAAAUGGGAGCGCCAGAUUACAAGAGAUCCAUAAAGGAAAUAAAUGUUUUGCCAAAAUACUUUUUCAUUCCUCUAAAAAAAAGGCACCUCUCCUAUGCAACAGUGUCUCAUAGGUGCUUCUCUAUGGUGCUUUUAUACAGUGAGUUGCAGUAUACAGCAGGUGCCAUCUGUUUGCUAAUAUAUGGCAGUGCACUGUGUGCUUACAUGCAGCAGGUAUGGUAUAUAGCUUAUAUACAGCUGUGCCAUCUGUCCCUUCUCUAGAGCAGUGUAGUCUGCAGCUUAUGUACAGUGAGUGCCAUCUGUCUGCCUGUAUGCGUGGUGCUGUCUGUCCACUUACCGAAGGGGACACAGUAUACAGCUUAUGUACGACAGGUGCUACUGUCCGCUGACUUAGAGUGGGUGCUUUCAUGGGACUAUAUUUAGCCCCAGUGCAGCCUCUUCCCUAGGAGGAUACUCCGCUCUCCCGAGCCAUCUGGCAUUCUAAACACUGAGCUUUGCCUGUUAGAGCUAGUUCCCUUCCCGAAAUGGAGCCCCACAAGGCAGUCUGCUUAGUCUGACAGCUGAGGUAUCAGGGUGCGAGAUCCUUCUGAUCCCAAAUGUUGACAGGGCUGGACAACUGGUAGUGUAGAUGUCACGUCAAGCACAGAGAAGCCUGAUUGAGAGAACAGAGGGGCCUUUGGAGGGGAAGCGUCCCCAGGAUUCCCUUUCCCCAUUCUCCCAAGUUACAAAAGCUAAGGAUUAUUUUCCCUUACCUAUGGACCCUAGACUUUUUCCUCAAAAAUCUUUCCCUUUUUCCACCAAAAAUACAUUUUUUCCUGCCAAAAAAAAAAAAAAUUAUCCAGCGCUCUCUUUUUUUCUCUUAUCACUUUGUCUGUCUUAACUUUCUCUGUCUCUCUCCCUUACACAAACACACACACACACACACACACACACACACACACACGUACAUGCACAGCCCCUCUAGUUUCUCCAAAGUGCUGGAUCCCACAAUCUUCACCUCAGUCCCUUCCUUCCCCCUGUUAUGUUACAGGAAAUGAGAUUUCAUCCAUAACCUUGUUUGGCUUGGAAUACUGAGUCUGUAUAAAUGCCCCAUUUCUAAUUGGGCCCUAAAAUGGGAGAACAGGGUAAGGCACGCGUGGCCCAGAGGAGAGAGCAGGGGAACCUUCUCUUAUUCAACCCAAGGACUAUUUAGGGAGGAUAUAUGGAACCUCAGAAUCUCCAAUUCCUUUCAUAAUCAUUUUUAAUAGAUUCCCCCCCUUUUUCCACCUGCACUGUGGUCAUAAUUUUCCUCAGGGCAGCAGGAAAUCACAACAAAAUCAAAGCUGGAAUAAAAUUAGGUAAAGUAAAGGACAAUGCACUUGCUCAUACACAUGGAUAAACUAGAAUCAUUGAAUCAUGUCGCUUCUACCCCAAAACCUCUUCUUCAGGCUAACCAUCCCCAGUUCCUUUAACCAUUCCUCUAUAACUUAAUUUUAAAUUCCUUUACCAAGAUAACCCACUCAGGACAAGCUCCAGCUUGUUAAUAUUUCUCUUAAAAUGUAACAGCUAUAACUAAACACAGUAUUCCAGAUUUGGUCUGACCAAGCACAAGUACAGAAAGAUGAUCACUUCUGUUCUCAACAUUAGACAAUCUGAAUUCAGAUGUAACUUGAGAUCACACUAGCUUUUUUGGCAGUCAUUAUUGACAUAUUGAAUUUAUAGCCCAUGCAUAGCCCCUGUCAUGUCCCACCUGGUCCAUGCAAAUGAGACCAGGUGGCCAGGGAUGAGUCCCUGCAUGAUAAAUGGAAGUGAGCUUAUUCUCGCUUCAGCCCUCUCUUUUGGCCUCAUCUCUUAUCUAAGAAUGGGAAAUCUGCCUGCUUAGUAUUGGAAUAUCCCUAGGCUGGAGUAAAAGCAAAAGACAUGGUCAGAGAUACAACCUUGUUUGCCAGGUAAACAAAGAUUGUCAUUCUUGGGCAGGCAUACAAAGGAGCUUUUGAUAACCAGGUAAAUAAACCAGACCAUUAGAAAGAGUUGUGUUGAUAAGAUCUUGUUAAGAUCCCUCUUUUUUAUUCCAGGCCCAUGCUUUUCAGUCUACCUAAGAGAAUCAUUAUUUGCUCUCUUGUUAACCCAUACCACCUUCAAAUUUUUUUUACAUGAACUGCUAGACACAUCUCCCCCCACUUUAGUAAAAACAGAAUUUUGCAGGACCUUGCAUUUAUGUCAACAAAUAUAAUCUUAAUUUGGGCCCAACAUUCUAGCCUGUUGAGAUCUUAUUGAUUCUGUCAUACAUUGUAUAGGUUCAUUUCAUCUGGAAACUUGAUUAAAAUGCCUUCUUUGUAUUCAGUCAGGUCAUGGAUAAAAAUGUCAAACUGGACAGAAGGCAUGUUCCUUUGCAAAUUGAUACUUAUCUAUUGACCAAUAAUUUUGGUUAUAGUUGUUCAAGAAAUCUACCUAAAAAUGCAACUGUCCACAAAUAUAUCUCAAAAAAACUUUGUCAAAUGCCUUGCUGAAAUAUAGAUGCACUAUACUAAUGGUAUUUCCCUGAUUAUACCAGUCUAGAAACUGUUAAAAAAAAAAAAAAAAAAAAAAGGAAAUUGUUAGUUUGGUAUGAUUUGUUCUUAGUGAAUCUAUGCUGACUCCUAGUGAUGACUGCUUGAUUGUCAAAGUGCUCAUAAACCAUGUACUAAACAAUGCAUUCUAGAAUUUUGCCAGGGAUUGAGGUCAACAGGGAGAAUGCAGUUCACAAGCAUACAAGUGUACAGACCUGCCUGCAUACAUAUACAGAGGCACACAUGUCCAGGUAACCGCUAUGUAACUUUUGGAACCCCGAAGGACCACCCAAACACACAUAAAAAAAAAAUUAUCUUCCUUAUCUUUGCUCCAGUAGUUGAAGGUUUUAAUCCUGUAAAAAUCCCUGAGGAAAGCCGGGUGGAUGGGAGAAGGUGGACCAGACUUUUAAGUUGUUAUCAAUCAUUUAUUCCUGAGUGUGAGUGAAUUUACCAGAUCCUUUCCAGAUAGGAGGGUGGGUAACAAUAGGAGGAUCCUAUUUGCUGAGUGAGGGAAGAAGGGGAGCCACCAAGAAAUAAGGAUACGGAGUCACCAACGCAAAUCCAAUGUCUUCACAAUUUUACCAGGGUCAGUUCUGGCAUAUAAGUAUGCACAGUGUAUUCAUAUAAAGACAAAAACACACAAAGGUACACACACAAAAUCUUGAGAAAAAGUGAGACCCAUCUGCCCAGGGAUCUGUAUAGUCAUGUGAAACCUUCCAUUACUGUUGAUCAAUAGGAGACAGAGACCAAACACCCCUGCCCUUAUCUCCCAGCUCAACCUAAUCCAGUCCAUCAGAGGAAUCCAGCUUGGGGACAAGAAGGGUAGGACAUUCCAACCUAUCCCUACUCCUCUCCCUGGGAAUUUCUAUUCAUAGCCUCAGAAAGAAAGAGAUAGGUGCCCCAGGACACCAAGGUCUCUGGUACCUGCCUACAGGAAUGGCAUCUGGAUCCCCUAUCUCAAGGGGCUUUUGUAAACACCAACAAGCUUUUCCCUGGGUUUGCUGGCCAGCCUAGGGAAGGAAGGUGGGCAAAAAGGCAGGGACCAGGGUUAUCUUGUAUUAUUGCCCAGAGCUGAGAAAAGUUGGAUUUACCCUCUCUUUUACAGGAAAAAUAAAAUCUACAACUCCAAUUUCUUUGGAAAUUAAAGGAUCCAAAAGGAGUGUAGAGCUGUAUUAUUGAUGGGAGGUGGGGGGAAGGGUCCUCCUGUCCUUGCUGCUCCUUCACCACUGAGAAGAGGGAAAUGAAGGAGAAGAGUUUCUUGUCCAACAACUAGGAAGUAAGCAGGAUAGUACUCAAAGCUGAGAUUCCAUCUUUUAUCUUUUAUGCUGGGUCCUAGUUCAUUUUGGAAAUAAAAUCUCAAAACUCA